rnacentral:rRNA from 1 species
CCUACGGGAGGCUGCAGUCGAGAAUCAUUCACAAUGGGGGAAACCCUGAUGGUGCGACGCCGCGUGGGGGAAUGAAGUUCUUCGGAUUGUAAACCCCUGUCAUGUGGGAGCAAAUUAAAAAGAUAGUACCACAAGAGGAAGAGACGGCUAACUCUGUUCCAGCAGCCGCGGUAAUACAGAGGUCUCAAGCGUUGUUCGGAAUCACUGGGCGUAAAGCGUGCGUAGGCUGUUUCGUAAGUCGUGUGUGAAAGGCGCGGGCUCAACCCGAGGACGGCACAUGAUACUGCGAGACUAGAGUAAGGGAGGGGGAACCGGAAUUCUCGGUGUAGCAGUGAAAUGCGUAGAUAUCGAGAGGAACACUCGUGGCGAAGGCGGGUUCCUGGACAUUAACUGACGCUGAGGCACGAAGGCCAGGGGAGCGAAAGGGAUUAGAUACCCCGGUAGUC